UGAGCCACGCUGCCGUUCGUUCCUUGCCGU
rnacentral:piRNA from 1 species